ACUCCCCUGCAGGAAACCCAGACAUGUGGCCUCCUGGAACAGAGCUUUUCCAAGCCAAAGAGGGGCCAGGUAGUUCUGGCAUCAGACUUGGCUUUAUAAGCCCUGAGCCCUGGGAAGGAUGUUAGUGGGACCAUGGAGGUCUCACAUAUACCGCUGUUACUGGAAGGGAUAGUAAAACCAGCAAAGCCUGGUCCAAGGCAAACUCUCAUCAAAAUCCAUUGUUUCACUUUUACGCAGGCAGAGGGGCCAUCAUGGGCAUGUGGGGGGCCCAAAUAAGUAAAUAUGCCCUUCAGACUAGGACAUGACUUUCCUCCUCUGAUUCACUCUAUGAGCUGAGACGGGAGGGUUCAAGAACUGACUUUUAGGACAACCACUGGGAGCUCAAGACAGGGUCCAUGGGGUACUAUGGGGUAAGCAUUGGUGAUGACAACACAUGUGGACCAGGACAGUUCAGAAGCAAGCAGGCUAGGUGGCAGGCAGCAUUCAGACACACCUCCCAGUGUGACUGAGUACCUGGCACCUCCAGGCUGGCCCUCUGCAGUCUAUGCUAACAUACCCUGUCCACUAUCCAAGGGAAACAAAUCCAGCCUAUAGCCUCCUCCCUCUACCCUUUCCACAGGCUUAGCACCCCCUUCUACAGCCACACCAGCUCCACCACUGUCCAAGAUGAAUCCUCAGCCAGGACUAGGCCCUUCUUUGUGCCCAGCUCAAGGCCCUUCCAGCUGCCCCUGUCCCCGGCUCGCUAGAGCAAGGACAAGACUGUCCUCUUCACCACCAUCUGACUAAGGGAGCCUCAACACAGCUGCAGGUAGCACAUCUUUAUGAUGGCAAACUCUGAAGGGAAUAGGCAGGCAGAGGGGAUGUAAGAGACAUGAGGAGUUUGCUGUGCUCAGCAGAAAGGAGGAAACCCUAAGGGAUAGCUCUGGGGCUAUGGGGGAGAUCCUGCUCCAUUCUAGUGUUGCUAUGGGCAGAUGUGGGGAGGGAGCUACAGAUGUGGCAGACUGAUGAUCUCAAGAGGGUGGGGGGCUGGGAAUCAUGAGCCCUGCUGUUUGUUUUGACUUCUCAGCUUAUGAUGCCUCAACAAAACAAGCCUCAACUACCAUUAAGAAGCUAAAAGUCAAGCUUAUUGGGAUGCUGAAAUAAUUAGUGUCUCCUCCAUCAACAGUGUUUGAAAAAAUGAAGCAUGCCUAGCACUCCUCAGCUCACCACAAGACCUCUGACAGGCUUCUGAGCGUGGGGUUGGUAGCCCUGGGGCCAGAGCCAGCCCUUGAGCUGAGCAAGAACUUCCUCCUGGGAAACCUUGAA